UACGGAGGGUGCAAGCGUUAUCCGGAUUCACUGGGUUUAAAGGGUGCGUAGGUGGGUCUGUAAGUCAGUGGUGAAAUCUUCGAGCUUAACUCGGAAACUGCCAUUGAUACUAUAGAUCUUGAAUUUUCUGGAGGUAAGCGGAAUAUGUCAUGUAGCGGUGAAAUGCUUAGAUAUGACAUAGAACACCAAUUGCGAAGGCAGCUUACUACGGGAACAUUGACACUGAGGAGCGAAAGCGUGGGGAGCGAACAGG
rnacentral:rRNA from 1 species